GGAGAGAUGGCUCAGUAUUAAGAGCACUGGUUGCUCUUCAGAGGAUCUGGGUUCAAUUCCCAGUAUCCACA
rnacentral:tRNA from 1 species